CGUGCGCCGCGGCUCCCGGCAGCGCGAGGGCGGCCGGUCAGAACGGUUCUCAAACUUAGAAAACCGCGUUCUGAUAGCGGGAGCGAACAGAUUCGUGCCGCCUCGAGUCCGAUUCUCUGAGCAGGUGUCAGGCGCCCGGGUGCUGCAGUGCCGGGGGCACAGCCCGUAACGGUUCUGACGAACAGCUGGGUAGGGCGCUGCAGCCACCUUCAUUUAACAUCAUUUAAAAGCAAUGCAAACAGCACAAAAAUAAACUGUUUUGUGGAAGCAGAAAAGCUUGGUAGUGGUAGGACUUUGUGCGUUUGUCUAACAUACUGUUGCAAGGACAAUCAGCAUGGAAAACCAGGACUUCAAGCUCUGCAUCUCUGCUUGAUCUUGACUUGCUGGUUAAUGUGAGGAGCUGCUUCCCAGAUCCUCUUGAUUUUGUUUGAGAAGUUAGAAUUACCUGUAAUCACUGGUAAACCAAGAGUCUCGAAUGGAGAAUAAUGACAAGCGCCUACCUAAAAGCUUAGACUGUGAUGAACUGGAAGUAUGAAGUUGUGUCCUCAUUUCUUCUGAACUCUGUGACUGUCUAGGACCAAUCCUGCCUUAGGAGGAAGGAGACAUUUACAGGAGAAUCCCAAGGGUCUUGUUUUGGUUACACAGUGAGAGAGCGGAGGGUGGGAGAGAGCUUGCAAGGUCAUCUCUGUUUGGAAGCAGUUCUCUUGGCCUUUAGCCUUCCCCUCAGCAGCUGACUUUCAAAUGGAAAACAAUACGCUGUCAUGUCUCCAUGUUAAAAUGACUGGAAAUUGAACGUAGGGGGAUUUAGCAUGUGAUUACUUUUUUUAGACAGGAUUUUCUUCACGGCUGAAUUAGAGUGAGUCCUUUUUCUCCCAAACCAGAUGAUUAUGUAAGCACAUUUUACCAGCAUUUAGGUACGUACUUUUCAGGCCUAAUCCUGCAAUGAGUCCUGUGUAUACAUUGCCCAACUUAGGAGGGACUGCCACUGCUUACAGAGAGCUGUUUGCAUGAAACUUAGGCAUUGUGGUAUCUGUAUUUGUAUUUUUAUGUGUACACUAAAAUUUAUGAUGCUUUAAGAAGAUGCAAACAGAACCAUAAGUCCACAAAACAGUUGAGGGACUUCGUGUACUUCUUUCACCUAUCAAAAUCUGUGAGGAUGUCUUUCUGCAAUGGACUAUAUUUGUUGGGACUUCUGAAUCAAAGCUGAAAGCGUUAGCCCUGUUGUAGAGUCCUUCCUGGUGCGCAAGGGGGAAUAAGGGCCUCAUUCAUGUGACUUUUUGGAUUUGCCUUCUCCUGAUGCAACAGGGGGGGUUCAGUGCAGAGAAUAUCUUCUAUCCUGCUGCUCUUGUGUGGGGGCAGAAAAGUAACACUGGGAAGGGAUUCCAUUAAUGGUGAGAAAUAUUUGAGAAUUUAUUUUAAAAUCUCUGUUUAUGUGUGUAAAAGGUCACCUGCAUCUGUUUGUAUGUGUGUAUAUAAAUAUGUGAUGUGAAUACUGCAGCACAGUUUCUUAUUUUUGUGUAUAUGCGCUAGAUAAAACAUGUAGAGCGUGUGUACAUCAUGUCAGUAUAUGGGUGUCUGAGACAGAACAGAAAGAUCUAAAGCUACCCACUUACUACAUUAUAGGGGAAUAGUGUGUAACAGAGUGAAGCCCCUGAUUCACUACACAAGCAGGCACGAGUGAGGCUGCCCAAGCAGUCUGAUGGCUGUCUUUUCCAAGCUGUUAGAAGCCAUUUUUGUAAGUUUGCUAUGCUUGUGCCCUAGCUUUGUUGGAGAAUUGCAGUGUUGAGCAUACUCAACAUACAUACAUACUGCUGCUUUACCGAGACACUAUUUUUCCAUUUAUACAGCCAGCUGCUUUGUGUACCAGUCUGGCUAUACAUACAAUUGUCUGAGUCUCUUGGUUCUCACCUUGUCUCUUUUUGCUUCAGCUGAGCCUCUUCAGGUUCCUGCAUAGAGAAGCUGGCCCUUUACCUUCUUUUCCAGGCUUAUCAGAGAGUUAAAACUCAGUUCAACAUCUCCUACUUGAAAACGAUGACACUCUUCCACUUCAAUGAAUUCUGCAGCUGCAUACAUGUGUGCAGCCCUGGCACACCUGGGAAUGGCGUAACCAUGCAUGGUAGAGCAAAGGACUGGAGAGUGAUACUACCAAGGCAUGUAGAACCCUCACAAGAGAGCCCAUUUUGGGAUGUGGAGGCAAUAUUGUGGGUCUGAGAGAUGCAGGACUAAGUCCCUGGAGAAUUCUGAUCGCAGUGCUGGCUUGUGGCUGUGCUGAACUAAGAAACAGUUGAGUUGAAAUUUCCAGACUAGAAGAUAUGACUGCUUCUAUUAACCUUGGUACCUGUCUUUUGCUUUUUUUUUUUUUUCCAAACAAUAUCCAGCGAUGUCUGUCUUACCGCAUUGUGUAUGGUCAGUGUUUUUGAAAAAUAAGCAAUUUCUUGAGUACCUAUUAGAAUUUAUGAAAGUAA